GGAAUCGGAAAUGGAUGGAAAUCUGAUCCAGCCAUGCCGCGUGCAGGAAGACGGCCCUAUGGGUUGUAAACUGCUUUUGUAUGGGAGCAAUAAGGUCUAUGCGUAGACUGAUGAGAGUACCAUACGAAUAAGCAUCGGCUAACUCCGUGCCAGCAGCCGCGGUAAUACGGGGGGAUGCAAGCGUUAUCCGGAUUUAUUGGGUUUAAAGGGUGCGUAGGCGGUUUGAUAAGUCAGCGGUGAAAUAUUUCAGCUUAACUGAAAGGGUGCCGUUGAUACUGUCAGGCUUGAAUAUGGUUGCUGUGGGUGGAAUGUGUGGUGUAGCGGUGAAAUGCUUAGAUAUCACACAGAAUAUCGAUUGGGAAGGCAGCUCACAAAGCCAUUAUUGACGCUGAUGCACGAAAGUGUGGGGAUCAAACAGGAUUAGAUACCCUGGUAGUCCACACUGUAAACGAUGAUAACUCGCUGUCGGCGAUACACAGUCGGUAGCCAAGCGAAAGCGAUAAGUUAUCCACCUGGGGAGUACGACCGCAAGGUUGAAACUCAAAGGAAUUGACGGGGGCCCGCACAAGCGGGAGGAACAUGUGGUUUAAUUCGAUGAUACGCGAGGAACCUUACCCGGGCUCGAACGGUGCAGGAAUACGUCAGAGAUGAUGUAGCUAGCAAUAGUCUGUAUCGAGGUGCUGCAUGGUUGUCGUCAGCUCGUGCCGGGAGGGUGUCGGCUUAAGUGCCAUAACGAGCCGCAACCCUUGGUCGUUAGUUGCCAUCAGGUAAUGCUGGGAACUCUAGCGGAGACUGCCACCGUAAGGUGUGAGGAAGGGGGGGAGGACGUCAAAUCAGCACGGCCCUUACCCCUCCGGGGCGACAACACGUGUUACAAUGGUAGGUACAGAGGGGCAGCUACCCAGCAAUGGGGUGGGAAUCUCAAAAGCCUAUCUCAGUUCGGAUUCGGAGUCUGCAACUGGACUCGGGGAAUUUGGGUCCUAUAAUCCGCAUCAGCCGGCCUUUUCCCCGCCCUUUCACCCCCUUCCGUAUCACACAGGACAACAGGUCGACACAGAUACAGGGUGCGCA
rnacentral:rRNA from 1 species